CCGCGGUAAAACGUAGGAGGCGAGCGUUAUCCGGAUUUACUGGGCGUAAAGCGCGUGCAGGCGGACGGGUAAGUUGGGUGUGAAAGCUCCUGGCUAAACUGGGAGAGGUCGCUCAAGACUGCCGGUCUGGAGCAUGGUAGGGGAAGGCGGAAUUCCGGGUGUAGUGGUGAAAUGCGUAGAUAUCCGGAGGAACACCAGUGGCGAAAGCGGCCUUCUAGACCAUGACUGACGCUCAGACGCGAAAGCUAGGGUAGCAAACGG
rnacentral:rRNA from 1 species